rnacentral:rRNA from 1 species
UACGUAGGGUGCAAGCGUUGUUCGGAAUUACUGGGCGUAAAGGGCUCGUAGGCGGCCAACUAAGUCAGACGUGAAAUCCCUCGGCUUAACCGGGGAACUGCAUCUGAUACUGGAUGGCUUGAGUUCGGGAGAGGGAUGCGGAAUUCCAGGUGUAGCGGUGAAAUGCGUAGAUAUCAGGAGGAACACCGGUGGCGAAGGCGGCUCUCUGGACCACAACUGACGCUGAGGCGCGAAAGCUAGGGGAGCAAACAGG